GUUUCUUUCCAAGGGUGCAAGAAAUCUUACAAUAUUACAGUCUAAUGCCAAUUCACGAGCUGAAAAAAAAAUCUUCCAACAAAAUUUCAAUAGAAAAGGCAAAUUAACACAGUCAUAGCCGAUAAAUGGACAAGUAAGCUACAAACCGAAAUGAAAGAAAACUCCACUCUUAAAUUCUGCAAUACAACAGAACUCAAAAUACACCAG
rnacentral:lncRNA from 1 species